UACGUAGGGUGCAAGCGUUGUCCGGAUUUAUUGGGCGUAAAGAGCUCGUAGGCGGUUUGUCGCGUCGGAUGUGAAAACCCAGGGCUCAACCCUGGGCCUGCAUUCGAUACGGGCAGACUAGAGUAUGGCAGGGGAGACUGGAAUUCCUGGUGUAGCGGUGAAAUGCGCAGAUAUCGGGAGGAACACCGGUGGCGAAGGCGGUUCUCUGGGCCUUACCUGACGCUGAGGAGCGAAAGCGUGGGGAGCGAACAGG
rnacentral:rRNA from 1 species